AGAUGGCAACAAAAGACUCCACUGUUUUAAGUUUAACACAGGGUAUAUCAGAUUAUUAUAACACUCAGUAUACUUCACUGAUUCAAUAUAAGCUUCUCAGAAACAUAGCAUGAUUUUUGCACCUACCUUGCUCUAUAUUCUCCUUCCUCUAGCUUUUUCUACCACUCUGAUCUUCCUCUAACUGUAACCUACUUUCCUUGCCUCAUUGCUUUUAUUGCUUUUAUACUUGAGGGGCAGGGGGAAAAUGCCAUAAAUAUUUUUGAAUAAACAAUUGUUUCCUAAACUAAAAAAAAAAAAAUGAGGUCGUCAAGCUAAGCUUUGCUGAUUUUGUUACACAUGUAAGUUUACGCUGACACUUUUAUGUUAAUACUUUUAGCUAGAAGAGUUGGCACUUCUAUUUUCACCCUUCACAAUUCAAAGGAAAACUCUUUGUUUUGCUCUGUUACUCCCUCCCAAUUCCUCUUUGAUAAGAAGGAGGAGUAAGUCUUCCUUCUCAUGCAGUUGUGUUUUCAAGCUAGAAUAACGUCCAAGCCCUUCAGUAUUUCGAACACUGUCAAGUGCCAUGAUUAAGAAGAGGAAUCAAUGUUGGUGUUAGAUGUGGGUCUCAAAUCCUAAUAGAAAAGCAGGGACUUUGAUCUGCAGCCCUUCAGAGAGGCCUGAAAGGCUGUCACUGCCGCUGCUAUUAGUCACCAUGUCAAAACAUAUGCUUGCCCUUAUUGAGGAAAAUAUCAAGUUUUUGUCCAUAAGAACAUGAACUCAUACAUCUAAUUGCAGUCCAACCCUUCAUGUCUGUGUACCCUUACCCACGUAUUCACAUGGACUCCCACACAUAAUUAUGCUUCACCCACACAGAUAAUUUAAUUUCUCACCCAUAUGUUAAUUAUAUCCUCAACCUAGGCACCUAAAUACACCCCCUGCCUCACAUCUAAUUACAACCCCCCUCUUAUGAAUGUAAUUAUACCACUCAGCUACCCAUCUAAUUAUGCCCUCCUUGACGUACUUAAUUGCUCUGCCCUGCUCAAGGACCUAAUUACAUUCUAACCAAUGCAUCAAUUAAGCCCCCAACCCUCCAACCAUAUUCUUCAGAGGCACAUCUCUUUAUCUCUGCACCCUACUUUAUCACUUCAACUAGGGAUUGGCAUCUUCCCACAAGCAAAUUCCUAGUAAGCAUGGCACCCAGCUAAACAGGCAAAAUAAUGACAAAAUGCAGCUGAGUCAAAAACAGCGUUGCUCUUCCAGUAAAUGAGCCUUUUCCAGCAUUUGCUUUUGCAGUUAUUUAACUAGCCCCUUGGAAGUCCAAAUGAAAAUUUCAGCUGUUUUCUUACUUUGCAUGUGUAAGCAUUUUUAUGAUGAAAAGAUCUAGUAAUUAGUUAAUUUAUUUCAGAGACAAGUGCUUCUCAUUACAGAUAUUUAAUUAUUGAACGCUUUAAAAAUCAUUACCCAAAAUUUUGCCUGGGGAUAUAUAUUUAUAAAUACUAAUUAUAUAAUAUUUGCACAUCCCUACCAUUCAAAGAAGGUUAACUGUUCUUCAAUUAUACAAAAAAAAAAAAAUUGCCAGAAAGCUGUUACUAAGAUUUGUAUUCCCCUUUCCACUAAUAAAAUUGUCAUUUCAAAAAGAUAAGUUCAAUAUUAAUACUAUAAAACAUCAGAUCAGAUGACCAUUCGGUAGAUUUACUGGACAUUUCAUACUCAAUUCCUGGUUAACUGAAGUCCGUUACUGAUGUUUCUGACCCAUGGAUGCUAAAGCUGUAAGGAAGGCUAUUGCGUGUACUUUAGGUCAGAGGUUGGCCAUAUUUCCGAAGUUCUCAAAAACUGGGGGGAUUUUUUCACAGUGGAAUGGAAAGGAAAUAUGAAGGGAAUGUACAUGAUAGCAGGAAUGAGGCCUCAUGCCCUGGCAAGACUUUGUCUUCUCCAGUUCCAAGGUGGAAAUACCACUGAAAGCCUUUUUUCUUUUCUUUCUUUUUUUUUUUUCUGCAAAAACAGGAAGUGCCUCUUCCUGUUGAUGCGCACUGCCCUAGAGCCUGCCUGCAUCCCAGUCCUGGCUUAAGUUUUUUUGCUGAUCACUGGCAAGUUAUUUAACCUUACUGCCUCAUAGGUAAUACUGGUACCCAUCUUGUACAGUUGUUUUGAGGAUUCAAUGAGUUCAGUGAGUUCUGUCUGGCCCAAGGUAAGUGAUCAAUAACUGUUACUUUUAUUUUUGAUGGACCCAGAUUUUCUCAGCAACUCAGCCUAGAAAUCUUGGAGUCAUGUUUACUCACCUCACAAUAUCACCUUAACAUCUACCUUUUCAGAGACUCAUCUAUGCUUUUUCUCUUUCCAUCCUCACUGUAAAUAUUUUUACAAUGGCUGAUUACUUCUCAUCAGCUUCUAGUUCCUGUCCAUCAUCCAGCCUUCAUGCUCAUAUACUAGGUACUCCUCUAAGACAAUGGUGAUGGCAUCACAGCUAUUUGCAGUAUGUUCAAGCACAUAAAAUAAUGCUCAUUAACUAUCAAUUAUCAAUUGAUGUUACCAUUUGAAAGAUCAAUUAUCAAUAAAUAUCAACUAUCCUUCAAUAAACCUUUAAACAAACAAAGGCUAGUGCCUAUCACUCCCCUACAAAAAAAGAGUACAAAAUGAACCCCUCUUUGCUCCUUGUCUACAAAAAAUUGAGAUCUUCAUUGAGACACU
rnacentral:lncRNA from 1 species